rnacentral:rRNA from 1 species
GACGGAGGGUGCAAGAGUUUUUCGGAAUCACUGGGCGUAAAGCGCGUGUAGGCGGUUCGAUAAGUCGGACGUGAAAGCCCGGGGCUUAACCCCGGAAGGGCAUCCGAAACUGUCGAGCUUGAGUACGGGAGAGGGAAGCGGAAUUCCUGGUGUAGAGGUGAAAUUCGUAGAUAUCAGGAGGAACACCGGUGGCGAAGGCGGCUUCAUGGACCGAUAAGGAAGCUGAGACGAGCAAGCGUGGGGCGCACACAGGCGGAGAUAACCCCGUAGUCC